UCCCUGAUGGAGAGAGAAGGCCCAGACAGAUGGAAAGGAACAAGUGGGACAAGUAUAGAAACAGACAUUGAGGGAUGGAUUGAUAUACUGGGAGGUCAGAAUUGAAUGGAUAAAGAGAGGUAGGAAGAGGAGAGGAGCUUAAGAAAAUGAGAGAGUGAGAGGAUGAAGAUGAGUGACCGAAUAUCAGACACAAAAGAAUGAACGGAGAGACCCAAACUCUGAUACAUGAGUGACUGUCAAAUCUUGUUGAGAAAGAAUGCAUGAAUGACAUGGGAUAUUCAGUGUGAGAUGGCUGAACUGAGGAGCACAGGGAAGAGAAGCAAAACUGAGGAGAUAAAUGCAAAGAAAAACAGUUAUUCAGAUUGCCCGAGAGAGGGAGAAAGGAAUCCAUGUUAAGGCGUAGACUGGGGUAAUGGAUGAAAUAGAUACUGGAGUGCUGUGAAAAGAAUGGGUAAAGAGGUAUAAGGAGCUAAGAAACCUGAAUGUCUAGAACUCAGAGAAAGAAAGCAAAAGAGAUGUGGACACUGAGAGAGAUCCAACUAGAGAUAGUGAGAAAUAGGAGAUGGAUGGAGAAAGACAUCAAAAGCAUGAGAAAUGUAUGAAAAGGGAGAGCAAGAGAGUGAAUGAUCUGUGGAAAUAGCCCUGUUACGCACAGAAAAGAUAUAUGGCUGGAAAUAAGUGUGCUUUGCUGUGUGUGUGUGGGUGGGUGGGUAUGUGCGUGUGUGUGGGUAUGUGCGUGUGUGUGUGUGGAAGCAGAAGCUAUAGCCAUGAAGGAUGAAUAGCUGAAAAACAGCAAAACCAUGAAUGGAUGAAAGGUGAGAGUGUAAUAUGCUAUGCUGCUGAAGAGCCACUGGAGAACAUGCAAGUAAAUGGUGAAGUGAUGACUGAGUUAAGGAUGGGAGAAGUGAUGUACUGAAUGAGCGUGAUGUGGAGAGACAAAGCUGUCCCCUGAGGGUUGCGCAACUAAAUCUAGAGGGCUCGAUUCUGACCAAUGUAUGAAAGGAGAAACUCCAGGUUUGUGUGGUCAAAGGAUCAUUGGGCUACAGCAGGGGCAGAGAAGAGUUUAGGUCUAGUACUUAUAGAGUAUGAAUGAAUACAGAAGAGGCCGGGACACUGUGAAAACAAAAAAGUGAAAAAAUGUUGGGAUGAAUGGAUAUACUGGGAUGUCAGAAUUGAAUGUAUGGAGAAGUUGAGAGAGGAGAGUGGAGUGAGCAAAUGAGAGUGAGAAGAUGAGGAUGGGUGACUGAAUGGCAGAACCAAAAAUGAAUAGAGAGACUCAAACUCUGAUACAUGAAUGACUGUUAAAUUCAGAAGGAAUCCAUGAAUGGCACGAAGGAUGCAGUGUGAGAUGGCUGAAUUGAGAAGCAUAGGGAAGAGAAGCAAAACUGAGGAGACACAUGCAAAGAGAAAGAGCCCUAGUGACAGAGAGAGGGAGAAAGGAAUCUCAUGUUGAGGCCUAAACUGUGGGAAAUGCAUGAAUUUAGACACUUGAAUGAUUUGAAAGGAAUGAAUAAAGAGAUAUAAGGAGCUGGGAACUAUGAAUGUCUAGAACUCAGAGAUAAAAAAAAAUAAAAGAGAUCUGGACACUGAGAGAAAACCAAUUAAAGAUAGUGAGAAAUAAGAGAUGAAUGGAGAGAGACACCAAAAGCAUGAGUAAUAUAUGGAAAGAGAGAGCAAGAGACUGAAUAAUGUUCAGACAAAGAGAGCAAGAGAAUGCGUAAUCAAUUGAAAGAGACCUGAACAUAAAAUAAGAGAUUCUCAGAUGAAACUAAAUGUGCUUUGCAGUGUGUGUGUGUGUUUGUAAGCAGAAGCCUAAACCCCUGAAGGAUGAAUACCUGAAAAACAGUGAAACCAUGAAAGGAUGAAAGUUGACAGGGUGAGAGUAUACUAUGCUGGUAAAGAGCCAUUGGAGAACUUGUAAGAAAAUGGUCAAGAGAGAAUGUGAUUACUGGCUGUUUAAAAAAUCUACCCAAAGGAGUAAAGGAUGAGAGAAGUAAUAAAAUGAAUAGGUGUGGUGUAGAGAAUCUGUCCCCUCGGGACUGAGCAGCUAAAUCUAGUGAGCUUGCUUGUGAGUGAUAUAUGAAAGGAGAAACUUGAUGUUCGUGUUCUCAAUGGGUGAUGGAGCUACAGGGGGGCAGAGAAGACCUUAGGUGUAGUACUAAGAGAGCAUGAAUGAAUACAGAAGAGGCCGGGCCACUGUGAAAAAUAGAGAAAAUGUGAGAUUUCUGGUUUGAAAGGUUAAGAGAAUGAGACAUGUGAGGAUGGAAAUGCUAUGGAGUACAAUAUGCCUGUGUCCACAUUCCUGCCAAGUCAAUAAAGUGUGAAAGCAGAAUGGGAAGCAUCAGCAUGGGCUGCAGAUGAAAAAGAAAAUGCCAAGAUUUCAGAGGACAAGGAGAUAGAGUGGCUCCAGGGAAUCACUGAGGUAGACACAGGUACUUGUUGAUAGGGCCUAGUGAGAUGUGGCUGUUAAAAAUACCACCUGAGUGUCAAACAUUUGUGAGAAAUAAGAUGUUGAAUGGGACUUGUAUGUGUGAAGCUAUAGUUGGUUAUAUGGACAAGAUGGAAGCUGGGUGGCUAACAAGAAAGACAGGAGAGUGGACUGACAAAUUUAAAUGGCAUGAAGGUGAGAAUAUGAGACCCAGAAACCCCAAAGAGGAGUGAAAGGAGAGACGUAACCUAUAAUACUUGAGGGGACAGUCAAGUUCCAAUAAGAAAGAAGGAUGAAUGGAGCAAGGAAUGCAAUGUGAGAUGACUGAAUGGAGAGCAGCAGAGAAAGAAGAAUGGUUGGUGAGAUUAAAUGAAAGAAAAACAUUGGGAGAAGAACAGUAAGAGAAGGGGAAAUUAAUGUGAAUAAAAGGCAACAGAGUGAAAGGUAUAGAAAAGGAGAUAUACCUGCAGGGGAGCCCAAUGGAUGCAUAGGCUAAAGAAGGUAGAUUGUGCUGAUAUUAAGGUAGGAAAAGGCAAGAUACUAUCUGAAGAGGACCCAAGACUGAAAUAGUUGGAAGAAUAGGGAAAGAGGGAAACAAUGGAUGGAGAGAGGGGGAAGUGAGAGACCUUUGUAGAUAUGGAGAUGGAUUGAAAGAGUUGUUCCUGAAGCUCAUGAGACAGGAAGGUGGGCUGGAAAGCCCAAGGAUUAAAUAGGAAAGGUGGAGAAAAGAAUGCUAGACAAAUCCAUGAGAAGGUCAAUAGGCUGAAAAUUUAAUAAACUACAUGAGGAAGGACAGCUCAGAGAGAAGAAGCUGAAUCAAGAGCAAUAUGAGGGAUGAUUGUGUCCUACACAAAAUUAGAGAGAAAGAAGGCCCAGACUCAUGGAAGGGAACAAAUAUGCAUACAGAUAUUGAGGGAUGAAUGGAUAUCCUGGAGUGUCAAAAGUAAGUGGAUGCAGAAAAGUUGGGAGAGGAGAGUGGAGUGAGAACAUGAGAGAGUGAGAGGAUGAGGAUGAGUGACUGAAUGGCAGAAUAAAUAAAAUGAAUGGAGAGACCCAAACUCUGAUACAUGAGUGACUGUCAAAUCUCGUUGAGAAGGAACGCAUGAAUGUCAAGAAGUUUGUGGUGUGAGAUGGCUGAACUGAGGAGCACAAGGAGGAAAAGCAAAACUGAGGAGACAAAUCCAAAGAGAAAUAAUUAGCCACAGUGACAGAGAGAGGGAGAAAGGAAUGAAUCCAUGUUGAGAACUAGACUGUGGGAAAUAGAUGAAUUUAGACACUUGAGGGAGGGAAAGGAAUGGGGAAAGAGGUAUAAGGAGCUGAGAACCCAGAGACAGGAAAUAAAGGAAAGAUGAGCCUAGACAGUGAGAAAGGUCUGUAUGGAGACAGUGAGAAAUAAGGGAUAGAUGGAGAGAGACACCAGAAGUAUGAGCAAUGUAUGGGACGAGAGACCAAGAGAGUGUGUCAUGUAUUGAAUGAGACCCGUAUGCAAGAAAGAGAUACUUAGUUGGGAAAAAAUUGUACUUUGCUGUGUGUGUGAAAGCAGAAGCCUAAGCAUGAAGCAUGAAUAGCUGAAAAAUAUCAAAACUGUGAAAAGAUGAAAGGUGAGAGAGUGAGAAUCCAAUAUGCUAUGCUGCAAAGAGCCAUUGGAAGACAUGCAAGAAAAUGGUGAAGCGUGAAAGUGAUGACCAGCUGUUUAGAAAAUUUACCUGAAGGAGUGAAGGAUGAGAGCAAUGAUGUAUCGAAUGAGUGUGGUGUGGAGAAAUAAAGCUUUCCCCAGAGGCUGUGUGGCUAAAUCUAGCGAGCUGGAUUUGUGACCAAUGUAUGAAAGGAGAAACUUCAGGUUUGUGUUGUCAAGGGAUCAUUGAGCUAUAGGGAGGCAGACAAGAGUAUAGGGCUAGUAGCAAUAGAGCAUGAAUGAAUACAGAAGAGGCCGGGCCACUGUGGAAAAAAAAAGUGAGACAAUGUGAGAUUCCUGAUACGAAAGGUCAAGAAUUUGAGAGGUGUGAAGGUGGAAAUGCUCUGGAGUGAGAAGUGCCUGUGUAAAGAUAUCUGUCAAUACACCAAAGUGAGAAAACAGAAUGGGAAACAAUCAAGGAUGGACUGCUGAGCAAAGGUAGAAAGCUAAGAUUUCAGAAGAUAAGGAGAUAGAGUCUCUCCAGGGAAUCACUGAGGUAGAGGCAGGUACAUGUGGAUAGGGACUAGUGAGAUGUGGCUGCUACAAAUACCAUCUGAGUGUCAGACAUUUGUGUGAAAUGAAUUCUUGAAUGGGAUUUGAAUGUGUAGAGCAAGGGCAGCUCUGAGUGAUGGAUAAUUGGCCAUAUGCAGACUAUGAGAGAUGAGCAGCUGAAGAGAAAGAAAGAGCAGAGUGGAUUGAGAAACGCUGAGAGAGUGAAGCUAAGAAUGUGAGACACAGAGACCACAAAGAGAAGAGUGAAAGGAGAGACCCAACCUCUGAUACUUGAAGGGACAGUCAAAUUCCAGUAGGGGAAAAGGGUUAAUGGUAAGAGAAGGCAAUGUGAGAUGGCUGAAUUAGGGAGCAGGAAAGGAAGGAAGAAUGAUUGAUGAGAUUUAAUGUAGGAGAAAUGUUUGGAAACAAACACUGAAAAAAGGGGAAAUAAUUGGGAAAACACGAUAACAGAUUCAUAGGUAUAGAAAAGGAGAUAUACCUGCAGAAGAGCCCAAUGGAUAUUGAGUAAAGGAGAUAGAUUGUGGUGAUAUACAGGUAAUAAAAAUCAAGAUAUUAUUAGAAGAGAACCCAUGAGUUAAAUGAAUGGAGAAAGAGAGAAAGUUAACACUGGAUAGCAAGUGAGUAAGAGAUAUCUAGAAAUGGAGACAUAUCAAAUGUAAGAUUUGUAGCUGCAAAUGGUAAGAUAAUGAGGUGAGUUCAAAAGACAAAGAAAGAAUGUGAGAAAGGUGGAGAAAACAGAGGUUAUAAGGCUUAGGGAGAAGAAAUAUCAAGAGAUUUAUGAGAGAUGACUGAGUUCUAGGAAAAAUCCCUGAGGGAGAGAAAAGGCCCAGACAGAUGAAGGGAACAAGUGGGACAUGUAUGUGUACAGAUAUUGAGAGAUGACUAGAUGGCCUGGGGUGUCAAUAUUGAAUGGAUGAAGAGAAGUUGGGAGAGGAGAAUGGAGUGAGAAAAUGAGAAAGUGAGAGGAUGAGGAUGGGUGCCUGAAUGGCAGAAUGAAAGAAUGAAUGGAGAGACCCAAACUCUGAUAUAUGAGUGACUGUCAAGUCUCAAUGAGAAGGAAUGCAUGAUUGGCAAGAAGUAUGUGGUGAGAUGGCUGAACUGAGGAGCACACGGAGGAAAAGCAAAACUGAGGAGCCACAUGCAAAGGGAAAUAAUUACUAGAGUACCUGCGAGAUGGAGAAAGGAAUACAUGUUGAUUACUAGACUGUAGGAAAUGGAUGUAUUUAGACACUUGAAUGAUAUGGAAUGAAAGAGGUAAAAGGAGCUGAGAAACCUGAAUGUCUAAAAGUCAAAGAGAAAAGAAAGGCAAGAGAGACUUACAUAGUAAGAGGGAUCUGACUGGAGAGAGUGAGAAAUAAGAGAUAGAUGGAGGGAGACACCAAAAGAAGGAGCCAUGAAUAGAAAGAGAGAGCAAGAGAUUGAAUAAUGUAUAGAUGGAGAGAGCAAGAGAGCGUGUAAUGGAGUGAGAGAGACCUGUACUCAAGUAAGAGAUUCUAGGAUGGAAAUAACUGCUUUGUAGUAUGUGUGUGAAAGCAGAAGCUUAAGCCAUGCAGGAUGAAUAGCUGACAAACAACAAAACCAUGAAAGGAUGAAAGAUGAGAGAAUGAGUGUCAAAUAUGCUUCGCUGCAAAAGAGCCAUUGGAGAAUGUUCAAGUAAAUGGUGCAAAGUUAAAGUGAUGAUUGGCUGCUUGCAAAAUCUACCUGAAGGAGUGAAGGAUGAGAGAAGUGAUGGGCUGAAUGAGUGUGGUGUGGAGAAACAAGGCUGCUCCCUGCGGGCUAUGCAGCUAAAUCUAGGGAGCUCAAUUAUAUGUAUGUAUGUAUGAAUGAAAGGAGAAAUUCCAGCUUGGUGUGGUUAAGGCAUCAUUGAGCUAUAAGGGACAGAGAAGAGUUUAGGUCUAGUCGUAAUAGAGCAUGAAUGAAUACCGAAGAGGACGGGCCACUGUGAAAAAUUAGAGUGAGAAAAUGUAAUAUUGCUGGUAUGAAAGGGUAAGAAUGUGAGAUGUGUGAAGGUGGAAAUGCUCUGGAGUGAGAGGUGCCUGGGUAAAGGUAACUGUCAAAACACUGAAGUGAGAAAACAGAAUGGGAAAUAAUCAAGGACAGACUGCUGAGCAAAGGGAGAAAGCCAAGAUUUUAGAAGCAAGAAGAUAAAGUGGUUCUAGGGAACUAACAAGGUAAACACAAGGACAUAUUGAUAAAGACUAGUGAGAUGUGGCUGGUACAAAUAUCACUGGGGAGUCAGACACCUUUGUGAAAUAAGAUGUUGAUUGGGACUUGAAUGUGUAGAGCAAGGCCAACUCUGAGUGUUGGCUAAUUGGCCAUAUGCAGAAGAUGAGAGAUGAACAGCUAAAGAGAACGAGAGGGGAAAGUAGAGUAAGAAAUCCAGAUGGGAUGAAGGUGAGAAUGUAAGACACAGAGGCCAAAAGAAAAGUGUGAGAAGAGACCCAACUUCUGAUACUUGAGGGGACAGUCAAAUUCCAAUAAGAAAAAUGCUGAAUGGAAAGAGAAGGCAAUGUGAGAUGACUGAAUGGGGGAGCAGCAAAGAAAAGAAUAAUAAUCAGUGAUACUGAAUGAAAGAGAAACAUGGGGACAAGAACACAGAGAAGGGGAAUUGAAUGGGAAGAGAAGUUGAUAGUGUGAAAGGUGUAGAAAAGGAGAUAUACUUGCAAGGGAGCCCAAUGGAUACUUAAGAGUAUAGAAGGUAGAUCGUGGUGAUAUACAGGUAGUAAAAGUCAAGACACUAUUAGAAGAGAACCCAAGAGUUAAAUGAAUGGAGAAAGAGGGAAAGUUAACACUGGAUAGCAAGUGAGUAAGAGAUAUCUAGAAAUGGAGAUGUAUUGAAUGUAAGAUUUGUAGCUGCAGAUCGUGAGACAAUGAGGUGAGUAGGAAAGCCCAAGAAAUCAAGUGGGGAAGGUGGAGAAAAUACAGAUUACAGGGACUGUGAAAAGGUCUAGAUGCUGAACAUUCAACAAUCAAACCUAAGAAGGAAAGGCUCAGGGAUAGGAAGCUGAAUGAAGAGCAGUAUGAAAGAUGACUGUGUCCUAGGAAAAGUCCCUGAGGGAGAGAGAAGGCCCAGACAGAUGAAGGAACAAGUGGGACAUGUAUGUGUACAGAUAUUGAGAGAUAAAUGGACAUUUUGGGGUGUCGACAUUGAAUGGAUGAAGAAAAUUUGGGAGAGGAGAGUGGAGUGAGAAAAUGAGAGUCAGAGGAUAAGUAUGUGUGGACUUAAGGGCAGAAUGAAAGAAUGAAUGGAGAGACCCAAACUCUGAUAAAUGAAUGACUGUGAAAUCUCAAUGAGAAGGAAUGCAUGAAUGUUGAGAAGGAUGCAGUGUUGAACUGAGGAGCUGAAAAGAGCAGCCACAUCCAAAGAGAAAGAGUUUUAGGGUUCUUGAGAGAAGUAGAAAGGAACAUGUGUUGAGACCUAGACUGUGGAAAAUGGAAUUUAGACACUUGAGUUAUGUGAAAUGAAUGGGGAAAGAGGUAUAAGGAACUGAGAAACCUAAAUACCUAAAAGUCAGAGGCAGAAAAUAAAGGGAACAAAGACCUAGAUCUUGCAGAGCUUCCAAGUGGAGAAAGUGAGAAUUAAGAGAUGGAUGGAGAGAGAAACCAAAAGAGUGGGCAGUGUGUGGAAAGAGAUUGAAUAAUGUAUUAAUGGAGAGAGAAAGAGAGUAAGUAAUGGAUUGAAAGAUCUGUAUGCAAGUAAGAAAUUCUGGUUGGAAAUACCUAUACAUUUCAGUGUGUGUGUGAAAGCAGAAGCCUAAAGCAUGUAGGAUGAAUAGCUGACAAACAACAAAAAGGAUGAAUGAUGAGAGGGUGAGAGUCAAAAAUGUUAUGCUUUAAAAGAACCAUUGGAGAACAUGCAAGUAAAUGGUGUAGAGUGAAAGUGAUGAUUGGGUGUUUACAAAAUCUACCUGAAGGAGCGAAGGAUAAGAGAAGUGAUGUACGGAAUGAGCAUGGUGUGGAGAGAAAAAAAGCUUUCCCCUGGGGGCUGCAUGGCUAAAUCUAGCAAGCUUGACUGUGACCAGUGUAUGAAAGGAGAAACUUCAGGUUUGUGUGGUCAAGGGAUCAUUCGACUACAGCGGGGGUAGAGAAAAGUUUAGGUCUAGUACUAAUAGAGCAUGAAUAAAUACAGAAGAGGCUGGGUCACUGUGAAAAACAAAGAGUGAGAAAAUGUCAGAUUGCUGGUAAGAAAGGUCAAACGUGUGAGAUGUGUGAAGGUGGAAAUGCUCUGGAGUUAGAGCUGCCUGGGUAAAGAUAUCUGUCAAUACACCAAAAUGAGAAAGCAGAAUGGGAAACAAUCAAGGAUGGGCUGCUGAGCAAAGGGAGAAAGCCAAGAUUUUAGAAGACAAGGAGAUAGAGGGGCUCUAGAGAACCACUGAGGUAGAAACAGGUACAUGUGGAUAGGGACUAGUGAGAUCUGGCUGCUACAAAUAUCACUGGAGUAUCAGAAACUUGUGUUCAAUAAGAUGUUGGGCCUUUGUAUGGGUAGAGCAAGGUUAACUGUGUGUGAUAGAUAACUGGCUAUAUACAGAAGAUGAGAGGUGAGUUGCUAAAGAGAAAGAGAGAGGAGAAUAGACUGAGAAAUCCAGAUGGGGCAAAGGUGAGAAUGUGAGACCCAGAGACCACAAAGAGAGGAGUGAAAGAAGAGACCCAACCUCUGAUACUUGAGGGGACAGUCAAAUUCCAAUAAGAAAAAGAGUGAGUGAAAAGAGAAGGCAAUGUGAGGUGAUUGAAUGGGAGAGCAUGAAAGAAAGGAACAAUGACUGAUGAGAAUGAUUGAAUGAGAAACAUUGGGAGAACACAGAGAAGGAGAAAUGAAUGGGAAGACAAAUCAAUAGAGUGAAAGGUUUAGAAAAAGAUACGUCAGCAGGGGAACAUAGUGGAUCUGAAGACUGAACCAGGUAGAUUUUGUUGUUAUUCAGCUAGAGAAAUGCAAGCUACUAGUAGAAGAGGAUCCAAGACUGAAAGAGUUGGAUAAAUGGGGAAAGAGGAAAAGGGAGUCAGAGUUACAUGAAAAUGGAGAUGUACUGAGAGUUUUGUAGGUUAUGAUUGUGAGACAGAAAGGGGGGCUGGAAAGCCUAUGAAAUAAAGUAUGGAAGGUGGAGAAAAGAGAGAUAGCCAAGGUUGCGAAAAGAUCAGAAUGUCAUAAAAAAAGGAGCAGGGAAAGCUCAGGGAGAAGGAGCUGAAGCAAAAGCCAUAUGAGAAAUGAUUGUAUCCUAGGGAAAAAGAGAGGAGGGAGGGAGAGGGAGAGAGAGAGAGAGAGAGAGAGAGAGAGAGAGAGAGAGAGAGAGAGAAAGAAAGCCUUGACUGAUAGAAGGGAACAAGUGGGACAUGUAUGCAUACAGAUAUUGAGGGAGGAAUGGAUAUCCUGGGGUGUUGAAAUUCAAUGGAUGAAGAGAAAUUAGGAGAGGAGAGUGGAGUGAGAACAUGAGAGAGUGAGAAGAAGAAGAUGGGUGACUGAAUGGUAGGACCAAAGAAUGAAUGGAGAGACCCAAACUCUGAUAAAUGAAUCUGUCAAAUCUCAAUGAGAAAGAAUGCAUGAAUAGCAGGAAGGAUGCAGUGUGAGAUGCUUGAAGUAAGGAGCACAAGGACAAGAAAUAAAACUGAGGAACCAAAUGCAAGGAGAAAUAAUUACUAGGGUGCCUGAGACAGAGAGAAAGGAAUACGUGAUGAGAUCUAGACUAUGGAAUUUAGACUCUUCAGACAGAAAAGAAAGGACAGAGAUCAAGACAGUGAUAGAGAGGGGUCUGAAUGGAAACAGUGAGAAAUGAGAGAUGGAUGGAUGGAGACACAAAAAGAAUCUGCACUGUAUUAAAAGAGAGCAAAGAGUGAGUGAUGUACUGAAAGAGAGCCAUAUAUAAGAGACACUUAUUUGGAAAUACCUAUUUUGCACUGAGUGUGUGUGAAAGCAGAAGCCAUAGUAAUGAAGGCUGGAUUCCUGAAAAAAAUAUCUAAACCUUGAAAGGAGGAGAGGUUGAGGUGGCGACAGUCAAGUAUUCUAUGCUGCUAAAGAGCCACUAGAGAACAUGCAAGAAAAUAGUAUAGAGUGAAAGUGAUGAUUGCCUGUUUGCAAAAUCUACCUGAAGGAGUGAAGGAUGAGAGAAGUGAUGGACUGAAUGGUCAUGAUGUGGAGAAACAACACUGCUCCCUGUGGGCUAUGCGGCUAAAUCUAGUGAGCUGGAGUGUGACUGAUGUAUGAAAGGAGAAACUCCAGGUUUGUGUGGUCAAGGGAUCAUCCAGCUGCAGAAGGGCAGACAGUAGUUUAGGUCUAGUAUUAAUACAGCAUGAAUGAAUACAGAAGAGGCCAGGCCACUGUGAAAAAAAUUAAAUGUGUGAGAAAAUGUGAGAUUGUUGGUAUAAAAGGUCAAGCAAGUGAGAAAUGUGAGGAUGGAAAUGCUCUGGAGUGAGAGAUGCCUGGGCAGAGAUUUCUGUCAAUUUAACAAAGUCAGAAGGCAACAUGGAAAGUAAUAAAGGAUGAGCUGCUAAGCAAAGGGCUAAAGCCAAGAUUUCAGAAGACAAGGACAUAGAGUGACUCUAGGGAACCACUGAGGUAGAGACAGGUGUAUGUAGAGACUAGUGAGGGACUAGUGAGAUCUGGCUGCUAGAAAUAACACUAGAGAGUCAGAAACUAGUGUUCAAAAUAAGAUGUUGGCCUUUGUAUGUGUAGAGCAAAGUUAACUGUGUGUGAUGGGUAACUGGCUAUAUACAGAUGAGAGAUGAGUGGCUAAAGAGAAAGAGAGAGAAUGGACUGAGAAAUGCAGAUGGGGCGAAAGUGAGAAUGUGAGACCCAAAGACCACAAAGAGAGGAGUGAAAGGAGAGACCCAACCUCUGAUACUUGUGGGGACAGUCAAAUUCCAAUAAGAAAAAGGAUGAGUGGAAAGAGAAGGUAACGUGAGGUGACUGAAUGGGGGAGCAGCAAAGAAAGGAAGUAUGCUUAGUGAGACUGGAUGAAAGAGAAACAUUUGGAGAAGAACACAGAAAAGGGGAAAUAAUUGACAAGACAAGUUAACAGAGUCAAAAGUAUAGAAAAGGAGAUAUUUCUGCACAGGAGCCCAAUGAAUACUUAGAAUAAAAGAGAUAGAUGAUUCUGAUAUUCAGAAAGGAAAAGGCAAGAUAGUAGGAAAAGAGGAGCCAGAACUGAAAGAAUACAAUGAACGCAGAAAGAGGGAAAGAAAACACUAGAUGGACAGAGCUGGAAAGUGAGCGAGAGAGAGAUUAUAAUAGAGAUGUACUCAAUGAAAGAUUUGUUGUUGCAGAUCAUGACACAGUUAAGUGGUUUGGAAAGCCAAAGAAGUAAAGUAGAGAAUGUGGAAAAAUAGAGAUAGCUGAGCAUGUGAGAAGAUGAAAAUAGUGAAGAUUCAAUACUAGCAAGGAUAAGAUCAGGGAGAGGAAGCUGAAUCAAUAGCAGUAUGAGACAGGACUGUGUCCUAGGGAAAAUCCCUGAGGGAGAGAGGAGGUCUAGACAGAUUAAGGGAACAAGUGGGACAAGUACACAUAAAGAAAUUGAGGGAUGAAUGGAUAUACUGUGAGGAGAGAAUUGAAUGGAUGAAGAGAAUUAGGAAAAGGAGAGGAGAGUAAGAAAAGGAGAGAGAAAAUAAGAGUCAGAGGAUGAAGAUGGGUGACCAAAUGGCAGACAGAAAAGAAUGAAUGGAGAGACCCAAACUCUGAUACAUGAGUGACUGUCAAAUCUUGUUGAGAAGGAACGUAUGAAUGGCAAGAAAUUUGUGGUGAGAGAUGGCUGAAUGGAGGAGCACAGGGAGGAGAAGCAAAACUGAGGAGACGCAUGCAAAGAGUAAUAGUUAGACACAGUGACUGAGAGAGGGAGAAAGGAAUCCAUGUUGAGACCUAGACUGGGGGAAAUGGAUGAAAUAGACACUCAAGUGAUGUGAACGGAAUCAAUAAAGAGGUAUAAGCAGCUGAGAAACUAGAAUGUCUAGAACUCAGAGACAAAAAACAAAGGCAUGAGAGACCUAGACAGUGAGAGAGAUCCAAAUGGAGAGAGACACCAAAAGAGUGAGCACUAUGUGGAAAGAGACAGCAAGAGAGUGUGUGAUAUAUGGAAAUAACCCUGUACGCACAAAAGAAAUAUUUGACUGGUAAUAAGUAUGCUUUGCAGUGUGCGUGUGGAAGCAGAAGCCAUAGCUAUGAAGGAUGAAUAACUGAAAAACAGGAAAACAAUGAAAGGAUGAAAGGUGAGAGGAUGAGAGUCAAGUUUACCAUGCUGCUAAAAAGCCAUUGAAGAACUUACAAGAAAAUGGUGAAGAGUAAAAGUUAUGAUUGGCUGUUUGCAAACUCUACCUGAAAGAGUGAAGGAUGAGAGAAGUGAUGGACUAAAUGGGCAUGAUGUGGAGAAACAACACUGCUCCCUGUGUGCUAUGCGGCUAAAUCUAGUGAGCCUGAUUCUGACUGAUGUAUGCAAGGAGAAACUUCAUGUUUGUGUGGUCAAGGGAGCAUCAAGCUGUAGAGGGGCAGAGAAGAGUUUAGGUCUAGUACUAAUAGAGCAUGAAAGAAUACAGAAGAGGCUGGGCCACUGUGAAAACAAAAAGAGUAAAAAAUUUGGGGAUGAAUGGAUAUACUGGGAGGUCAGAAUUGAAUGGAUAGAGAAGUUGGGAGAGGAGAGUGCAGUGAGCAAGUGAGAGUGAGGGAAUGAGGAUGGGUGACUGAAUGGCAGUACAAAGAAUGAUUGGAGAGACCCAAACUCUGAUACAUGAGUGACUGUCAAAUCUUGUGAGAAAGAACACAUGAAUGGCAUAGUGCAUGCAGUGUGAUAUGGCUGAAUUGAGGAGCACUGGGAGGAGAAGUAAAACUAAGGAGCCACAUGCAAAGAGAAAUAGCCACAGUGACUGAGAAAGGGAGACAGGAAUCUAUGUUGAUGCCUAGACUAUGGGAAAUGGAUGAAUUUAGACACUUGAGAGAUAUGCAAGGAAUAGGAAAAGAGAUAUAAAGAACUGUGAACCAUGAAUGUUUAAAACUCAGAAAGGAAAAAGGAAGAUGAACCUAGAAAUUUAGAGGGGGUCUGAAUGGAGACAGUGAGAAAUAAGAAAUGGAUAGAGAGAGACACACACAAAAAGAAUGAGCAGUAUUUUUGGAAAGAGAGAGCAAGAGAGUGUAUAAUGUAUUGAAAGAGACUUGUACGCAAGCAAGAGAUACUUGGGUGGAAAUAUCUGUACGUGGCAGUGUGUGUGUGAAAGCAGGAACCAAAGCCAUGAAGGAUGAUUAGCUGCAAAAUUUCAAAACCAUGAAAGGAUGAAAGGUGAGAGGGUGAUAGACAAGCUUACCUCACUGCUAAAGAGCCAUUGGAGAACAUGUACGUAUAUGGUGAAGAGUGGAAGUGAUAAUUGGCUAUUUGCAAAAUCUAAAAGAAGGAGUGAAGGAUGAGAGAAGUGAUGUACUGAAUGAAUAUAGUGUGGAGGGAUAAAGCUGUCCCCUGGAGGCUGUGUGGCUAAAUCUAGCACGCUCAGUUGUGUCCAAUGUAUGAAAGGAGAAACUUCAUGUUUGUGUGGUCAAGGAAUCAUCAAGCUGUAGAGGGGCAGAAAAGAGUUUAGGUCUAGUACUAAUAGAGUAUGAAUGGAUACAGAAGAGGCCGGGCCAUUGUGAAAAAAAAACGAGUGAAAAAAUAAGAGAGUGAAAUGAUGAGAUUGGGUGACUGAAUGGCAGAAUAAAAGAAUGAAUGGAGAGACCCAAACUCUGAUGCAUGAGUGACUAUCAAAUCUCAAUUAGAAGGAAUGGCAAGGAGUAUGUGUUGUGAGAUGAACGUUUUUUACAUUGUGAAAACAAGAAAAUGAGUGAGAAAAUGUGAGUCUGUUGGUAUGAAAGUUCAAGACAAUGAGAGUUGAGUGGCUAAAGAGAAAGACAGAGAAAAGUGGAGUGAGAAAUCCCGAUGGGGUGAAUGUGAGAAUGUGACACACAGAGACCAGAAAGACAGCAGUGAAAGGAGACCCAACCUCUGAUACUUGAAGGAAUAGUCAAAUUUCAAUAAGAAAAAGGAGUGAAUGGUAAGAGGCAUGUAAGGAGAAAUGACUGAAUUUGAAAGCACAAAAGAAAGGAAGAACGACUGGUGAGAUUGAAUAAAAGAGAAAUAUUUGGAGAGGGACAGUGAGGGAAGGAGAAAUGAAUGGAAAGGCAAGUCAACUGAGUGAAAGGUUUAGAAAAAGAGAUAUAUCAGCAGGGGAACAUAAUGGAUCUGAAGACAAAAAGAGGUAGAUGGUGUUGAUAUUCAGGUAGGAAAAGGCAAGCUAUUAGUAGAAGAGGACCCAAGACAAAAGAAUUGGAUAAAUGGGGAAAGAGGCAAAUGCAGUGAGGGUUAUAUAGAAAUGGAGAUGAAUUGAAUAAAAGAUUUAUAGCUGCAGAUCAGGACACAAUGAAGUGGGUUGGAAAGCCUAAAAAGUAAAGUAGAGAAGGUGGAGAAAUAGAGAUAGCUGAGCCUGUGAGAAGAUGAAGAUGCUGAAGAUUUAAUAAACAAUACUAGGAGGCAUAAACUCAGGGAGAGGAAGCUGAACCAAGAACAAUAUGAGAUAUCAUUGUGUCCUAGGAAAAUCCCUGAGUAUGAGAGAAAGUGUAGAGAGAUAGAAGGGAACCAAAUGUGACAAGCAUACAUACAGAAAUUGAGGGAUGAAUGGAUAUACUGGGAGGUCAGAACUAAAUGGAUGGAGAAAUUGUGAGAGGAGAGUUGAGUGAGAAAAUGAAAGUGAGAGGAUAAGAAUGGGUGACUGAAUGGCAGAAUAAAAGAAUGAAUGGAGAGACCCAAACUCUGAUAUAUGAGGGACUGUCAAAUCUCAAUGAGAAGGAAUGCAUGAAUGGUAAGGAAUAUGUAGUGUGAGAUGGAUGAACUGAGGAGCACAAGGAAGCAAAAUCUGUAGUUAGCCAGGGUGCCUGAGCGAGAGAUAUAAGUGUACGUGUUGAGACCUUGACUGUGGGAGAUGGAUGAAUUCAGACACUUGGGUGAUGUGAAAGGAAUGAGUAAAGAGAUAUCAGAAGCUGAGAAACAUGAAGGUCAAAAAGUCAGAAACUGAAAAGAAAGGGAAGAGAGACCUAGACAGCUGGAUGAAUCCAAGUGGAGAGAGAGAGAAAUAAGAGACGGAUGGAGUGAGGCACAAAAAGUGUGAGCAUUGUAUGGAAAGAGACAGCAAGAGUGUGAGUAAUAUAUGGAACGAGACAGCAAGAGAAUGCAUAAUGUAUUGAAAGCAAUGUAUGCAUGUAAGAGAAACGUGGCUGCAAAUACCUGUACUUUGCUGUGUGUGUGUGUGUGUGUGUGUGUGUAAGAAGUUUAUCUAUGAAUUCUUGAAAAAAUAACAAGGCCUUCAAAGGAUAAGAAGUGAGUGUGUGAGAGUCAAGCAUAAUACACUGCUAAAGAGACGUUGAAGAACAUGCAAGAAAAUGGUGCAGAGUGAAAGUGAAGAUUGGCUGUCUAGAAAAUCUACCCUGAAGGAGUGAAGCAUGAGAGAAGUGAUGGACUGAAUGUGCAUGAUGUGGAGAAGCAAGGCUGCUCCCUGUGGGCUAUGCGGCUAAAUCUAGUGAGCUGGAGUGUGACCAGUGUAUGAAAGGAGAAACUACAUGUUUGUGUGGUCAAGGGAUCAUCGAGCUGUAGAGGGGCAGAGAAGAGUUUAGGUCUAGUACUAAUAGAGCAUGAAUGAAUACAGAAGAGGCUGGGCCACUGUGAACAAAAAGAGUGAGAAAAUGUGAGAUUGCUGGUACGAAAGGUCAAGAGAGUGAGACGUGAGGAUGGAAAUGCUCUGGAGCGAGAGGUGGAAAGAUAUCUGUCAAUUUAACCAAGUGAGAAAGCAGAAUGGGAAGCAAUAAGGAUUGGGCUGCAGAUCAAAGUGAGAAAGUCAAGGUCUUAGAGGACAAGAGACCAGAGUGGCUCUAGGGAACCACUGAGGUAGAGACAGGUACAUGUGGAUAGGGACUAGUGAGAUCUGGCUGCUACAAAUACUAUUUGAAUGUCAGACAUUUGUGUGAAAUAAGAUGUUGAAUGGGACUUGGAUGUGUAGAGCAAGGACAAUUUUGAGUGAUGAAUGGGACAUAUGCAGAAUGUGCGAGUUGAGUGGCUGAAGAGAAAGAGAGAGGAGAGUGGAGUGAGAAAUGCUGAGAGGGUGAAGCUAAGAAUGUGAGACAUAGAAACCACAAAGUGAGGAGUGAAAGGAGAGACCCAACCUCUGAUACUUAAGGGGACAGUCAAGUUCCAAUAAGAAAUAAGCAUGAAUGGAGCGAGGAAUGCAAUGUGAGAUGACUGAAUUGGGGAGCACGAGAGAAAGGAGUGAGAAUGAAUGAAAGAGAAACAUUUGGAUGAGAAAAGCAAAAAUGAAUGCCAACUGAGGACUACAGCGGGAAAAGUCUAUGAAAGGACACAUAUCAGUAGGGGAGCCCCAAUGGAUGCAAAGAAUGAUUGGUGCAGCGACUGCUUGGCCAAGAUCCAAUGGAAGAGUUCUUGAGAUUGAAAGAGAUGGAUGAAUGGAGAAAGGGGAAAAAAUGAAUAAUGGGGGGAACAAGAUUAAGAGCAAGUGAGGGAUAUAUGGAAAUGGAUGUUACAGGGUUAAUGAUUUGUGAAUGCAGAUCAUGAGACACAGUAAGGUAGGUUGGAAAGCCUAACAAGUAAAGGAAAGAUAGUUGAGAAAACAGAGAUAGCCAAGGCUGUAAGAAUUUCAAGAUGUUGAGGAUUUAAUAAGCAAUAGGGGAGAGAAACUUAGGCAGAGGCAGCUGAAUUAAGAGAAGUAUGAGAGAUGACUGUGUCCUAGGAAAAGUCUCUGAGGGGUGAGAUGUCUCAGAGUGAUAGAAGGGAACAAAUGGGACAUGCAAGCAUAAAGAAAGAAAGGGAUGAAUAGAUAUCAUGAGGUUUCAAAGUUGAAUCGAUGAAGGGUAGAGAGAGGAGAAUGGAGUGAGUAAAUAAGAGAGUCAGAGGAUGAGGAUGAUUGAUCGAAUGGCAGAACCAAAAGAAUGGAUGGAGAGACCCAAACUCUGAUAUGUGAAUGACUGUAUGAAUGGCAUAUUGUAUGUGAUGUGAGAUGGCUGAAUUGAGCACUGGGAGGAGAAGCAAAACUGAGGAGCCAAAUCCAAAGAGAAAGAGUUAGCCAGAGUGCUUGAGAAAGAAAGAAAAGUAUCCAUGUGGAGAACUAGACUGUGGCAAAUGGAUGAAGUAGAAUCAGUGUUGUGAGAGGAAUGGGUGAUGAAAUAUAUAUGUAUAUGUAUAUGUAUGUAUGUAAUGAGUACCACGAAUGUCUAGACUCAGAGAGAACAAAGGGAAGAGAGACCUAGAUAGUGAGAGGGAUCCAAAUGGAGACAGUGAGAAAUAAGAGACAGAAGGAAAGAGAGAUCAAGAGAGUAAGUGAUGUAAGAAAAGAGAGCUGGACACAAUUAAGAAGUGCUUGGUUUUACAUAAUUGUACUUUGUAGAAUAUGUGUAAAAGCAGAAGCCUUAGCCAUGAACGAUGAGUUCCUGAAAAAAAAAUCUAAACUUUGAAAGGAGGAAAAGCGAGAGGGUGAGAGCCAAGUAUAAUACACUGCUAAAGAGCCGUUGUGGGACAUGAAAAUGGGAAAGAGUGAAAGUAAUGAUUGGCUGUUUAGAAAAUCUACCUGAAGGAGUGAAGGAUGAGAGAACUGAUGUAUGGAAUGAGUGUGGUGUAUAGAGACAAAGAGGGAAAAGGAUGAGUGGAAGGAAACAUGCAAUGUAAGAACAUUGAAUUGGGGAGGAACAAGAAAAGGAAGAAUGAGUGGUGAGACUGCAUGAAAAGAGAAGCAUUUGGAGGACACUGCUAGAAAGGGAAAUGAAUAUGAGCAUAAGUCAAAGGUGUACAAAAGGUGAUUUCAGUAGGAGAGCCCAAUGAAUACUUCAAUUAAAGGAGGGAGAUUCUGCUGAUAUCCAGGAAUGAAAAGGCUAGGAAUUAGUGGAUAAGGACUGAAGACGGAAAGGAGAUACAUGAACAGAGAAAGAGGAAUAUUAGCAAUGGAUGUAAAAAGAGGCAAAGAGAGGGAGAGGUGUAUGGAAAGGAAGCUGUGCUCAGUGAACGUUUUAUGGCUGUAAGUAUUGAGACAGUAGGGUGGGUGGGAAGCCCAAGAAGUAAAGGAAGGAUGUAGGAGAAAAUAGAGAUAGUUGAGGCUGUAAGAAGGUCAAGAUGCUGAGAUUUAAGUAGGCAAGAGUGGGAGGGAUAACUUCAGGGAGAGAAAGCUGAAUCAAGAGCAGUAUGAGAAUUGACUGUGUCAUAGGAAAAGUCCCUGAGGGAGAGAGAAGCCCCAGACAUUAGGGAACAAGUAGGAGAUGUACACAAAGAGAAAGUGGGGAGUGGAUAUCCUGGGGUGUCACAGUUGAACGGAGAAAGAGAAGUAGGGAGAGGAGAGUGGAGAGGGAAAACGAGAGUGAAAAAGUAAGCAAGGCAGAACCCACAGAAUGAAAGGACAGACCCAAACUGAUAGAUUAGUGACAAAUGUCAAGAAAAAGGAAUGCAUUACAGGAUGAAGUCAGGGUGUGAGACAGCUGAAAUGACGAGUAAAAGGAAGAGAAGAAAGGAUGUGAAGCCAUAGCAAUGAAGAAAGUUAGCUAGGGUGCUUGAGGGAGGGGAAGAAGGAAUCAAUGUUGAGACCCAGAUAGUGAGAGAAGACUGAAUGGAGAAAGUGGGAAAUGAGAGAACAGUAACCACAUCUCUCUCCACAUCUCACCACCUUUAAAACAUUGAGAAGUUAAGUUACAGACCCCCCCAGAACUAGCUAUGAAAACAGCAGGGAGAAUGAUUCUGAACUUUGGGACAAUGACACACAUUUCCCCCACCUUACUCUAAGAGCUUAUCAGAGCCCAAGUCUAACAUAAAAGUAAAAAAUCAAGAUGUUGACUUGGCAAAUAGGCAAACCAUUAAAAGGUAUCUAUUGACAAGGAACCUCAAGACACAAACUCAGAUGACCACAAUAAUCUGAAAAUUUCAAAGAAAAAUGCAAAGUGGAACUAAACAAAAGAGAAAGAUGAAAAAAUGAAGCAAAAAUAAUUUCUUAAACUCAAAGAAGAACACUAGAGGAAACCUGUGGGAAAAAUGAGAGCAAUGCAAGAAAAAUAUGCAAAGAGAAUUGGUGGCUUAGAAAAAGAGAUACAAAAACAAUGAAAAAAUAACUACAUAUAAAGCAGAAUUGGCCAAGGGAAAAAAGAGGUACAGAGUAUCACUAAAGAAAAUAAUUCUUGAAAAGUUAGAAUUGGUCAAGUAGAAAGCUAAUGACAACUAUGAGUGAUCAAAAAACAAGAAAACAUAUCAAAAUAAUGAAAAAAUGUGAAAUAUCUUUUCAGAAAAACAAGUUACCCAGAAUUUCUUAAACUCAAAGAAGAACAGUAAAGGAAACGUGGAAAAAAUGAGAGCAAUGCAAGAAAAAUAUGCAAAGAGAAUUGAUGGCUUAGAAAAAGAGAUACAAAAAUACUGAAAAAUAACUACAUAUAAAGCAGAAUUGGCCAAGGGAAAAAAGAGGUACAGAGUAUCACUAAAGAAAAUAAUUAUUGAAAUGUUAGAAUUGGUCAAGUAGAAAGCUAAUGACAACUAUGAGUGAUCAAAAAACAAGAAAACAUAUCGAAAUAAUGAAAAAAUAGAAAAAAUGUGAAAUAUUUUUUCAGAAAAACAAGUUACCUGGAAUUUCUUAAACUCAAAGAAGAACACUAGAGGAAAUAUGUAGAAAAAUUGAGAGCAAUGUAAGAAAAAUAUGCAAAGAGAAUUGAUGGCUUAGAAAAAGAGAUACAAAAAUACUGAAAAAAUAACUACAUAUAAAGCAGAAUUGGCCAAGGGAAAAAAGAGGUACAGAGUAUCACUUAAGAAAAUAAUUCUUGAAAAAUUAGAAUUGGUCAAGUAGAAAGCUAAUGACAACUAUGAGUGAUCAAAAAACAAGAAAACAUAUCAAAAUAAUGAAAAAAUAGAAAAAAUGUGAAAUAUCUUUUCUUUUCAGCAAAACAAGUUCCCUGGAAUUUCUUAAACUUAAAGAAGAACACUAGAGGAAACAAUGGAAAAAAUGAGAGCAAUGUAAGAAAAAUAUGCAAAGAGAAUUGAUGGCUUAGAAAAAGAGAUACAAAAAAACACUGAAAAAAUAACUACAUAUAAAGCAGAAUUGGCCAAGGGAAAAAAGAGGUACAGAGUAUCACUAAAGAAAAUAAUUCUUGAAAAGUUAGAAUUGGUCAAGUAGAAAGCUAAUGACAACUAUGAGUGAUCAAGAAACAAGAAAACAUGUCAAAAUAAUGAAAAAAUAGAAAAAAUUUGAAAUAUCUUUUCAGAAAAACAAGUUACCUGGAAAAGAGAUCAAGAAAUGAUCAAUUAAGAAAUAUUAAGAAAGCCUCGACAUCAUAUUUCAAAAUAUUAUAUUAUAAAUGAAAACCGCCCAUGCUUUUUAGAACCAGAAAGUAAAAUAGAAAAUGAAAGAAUUUAUAGUCAUAUCCUGAAAGCAAAACCAAAAUGAAAACUCCCAGGAAUAAGAGACAAAUUCUAGAGCUUUUUACUUGAGGAGAGAAACUACUUAAAGCAUCCAGAAAGAAAAAAAUUUCAAUACUUUGCAGCCAUAGUCAAGAUCGCAUAAAAUUUAGCGGGUACUAAGAUAAAGGGGCAGAGGGAUUAUAUAACAAUUUCAUAAAAAAAAGAGGGGGAGGGAGGAAGAAGAAGAGGGGGAGAGAGAGAGAGACAGGAAGGGAGAGAGAGACAGAAAUAGACAGAGAUGGGGGAAGAGAGAGAGGAGCAGGCAGAGAGACAGAGAUAGAGAAACAGGAAGGGGAAGAAAAACAAGAGAUUGAGAGACUCAGACAGAAGGGGGCAAGAGAGAGAGAGGAAGGGAGAGAGAAACAGGAAGGGGGAGAGAGACAGAGGGAGACUCAGAAGGGGGGAGAGUAGCAAAAGAGAGGAGGGGAGACAGAGACAGGAGGAGGGAGAGACAGAUAGGAGUUGAGAGAGAAAGAGACAGAAAUGGGGAAGAGAGACAGACAGACAGGCACAGGAGGAGAGAGGGAGAGACAGAUAAGAAAGGAGACAGAGAUAGAGGAGGGGGAGAUCAAGACAGACAGAGACAGGAGGGGGGGAACAGAGACAGACAGGAGGGGAAAGAGAAAGAUAAAAGGGAGAGAGACAGGAGGAGGGAGAGAUUCAGGAUGUGAGAGACAGACAGAAGGGGAGAGAGAGAAUGGGGGGAGAGAAACAGAGAGAGGGGGAAGAGAGAGACAGAUCAGAGGAGGGAUAAAUAGGAAGGGAGAAAGACAGAAAGAGACAGGGAAGAGAGGGGGGGAAAGAGACAUAGGAGGGGAGACAGGGAGAGACAGGCAGGAAGGGAGAAAGAAACAGGAGGGGGAGAGAGCAAGAGAGAGUAAAAGAAAGGGCAAGAGAGCAACAGACAGGAGGCGAGAGAGAGAUAAUCAGAAAAAUAGAAAGGAGAUGAGAGAGAGAGACAGAUAGGAGGGAGAGAGAGACAGAGACAAGAGGGGAGAGAGACAGACAGAAAAACAAACAGGAAGGGAGAGACAGAGACAGGAGGGUAGAGACAGAUAGGAGUGAGGAGAGAAACAAAGGGAGAGACAGGGUGACAGAGAUAGAGGAGGGGAGAGAGACAGAGUGAAAGAGAUAGAGGGGGGAAAGAGUCAGAGAUAGGAAGGGGGAGAGAGACUGAGACAGAAAGACAGACAGACAGGAGGGGGGAAGAGCGAGAGAGAGUGAAAGAGAAGGUGAGAGAGCUAGAGAAAGGAAGAGGGGAGAGAGACGUAGAUAGGAAGGGGAGAGAGAGACAAAGACAGGAGGGGGAGAGAGAUAAUCAGAAAAAUAGAAAGGAGGGGAGAGAGGGAAAGACAGAGAGUGACAGAGAUAGAGGAGGGGAGAGAGAGAGACAGAUAGGGAGAAAGAGACAGUGACAGGAGCAGGGAGAGAGAGUCAAAGACAGGAGGGGGACAGAGAAAGAUAAACAGGAGGGGAGAGACAGAUGGGAGUGAGGAGAGAGAGAGACAAAAGGAAAGACAGUGACAGAGAGACAGAAAGACAGGAGGGGGGAGAGAGAGAGUGAAAGAGAGAUAGAAAAAGGAGGAGGGGAGAGAGACAGAAAGACAGGAGGGGGAGAGAGGCACACAGACAGACAGAAAGGGAGAGACAGAAACAGAGUAAAAGAGAUAGAGGGAGGAGAGGAAGAGGGGGGAAGGAAGAGGAUGGAGGAAAAAACAAAUCAACAGAGUGACCCCUUGAGUGAGAGAUGGAUGGGUAUAUUGAAAUAGCAAGGGAACAUUACAUAAUUAGAAAAAAUUAACCAGGAAAUGGUAGGUGAAUGGUCAAAGACAAAGAUACAGGGAGAGAAAAAUUGAUUGAGAAAGAUAGAUACAGCAGGGUGACAAUGAUUGAUGCACAGGCACUGAAAGUGUGAAUGGAGAAAUUCAGGCUGUAGGUAAGGUGACAGAGAGAUCUAACUAGCAGAAAGUGAAUGAACAGUAUGAAAUGUAAGAUGGCCGAAUUGGGAAUUAGCAGGAAAGAGAUAAAUGAACAAAAUGAAUCUUGUUAUAGAGAAUGAGACAAACGGAUCUCUUAGACUAGACACUUGGAGAUAAAGAAAUAAAAAGUUAGAAAGAAUUCAGCAUUGCAAAACCCAUGGCUGAAUAGCCCAAGAGAAGCAUGGAAUAGUGAAUGCUAAUAUUAAAAACCCAAGAAAAAUGGAAGAGUGUGUAAGAUAUCAAAAAAUGAAUUCGUGGAGAAAUCAGAAUCACAAAGAAAAAAUGGUAAGAGAGAUAAAAAUACAUGGAAAAAGUUAUACUAAGUGAGAGAUUCUUGGCUGAAGAUGCAUGUAUGAGUGAAUAGUUAAUAGUCAAAAUUGAAAUUAGAAAGAAGGAAGGAAUGACGAGAGUUCUACAAUGCAAGAUGAAGUGAGAACAGUUGGCAAGACUGAAAUGAAAUGGUUAGACGGAGCCAUGUUCGAAAGGAUAUUUAGAUUAGCUGAAGAAAGGAGACGUGAAUGGAUGGCAAGGCCUAGAAGGUAACAGAUGAAUGAAUAUUGAGGCAAAAGUAGCAAGGAUAUUGUGAUUACAAAGAGCUGGAAAAUGAAAAGCAAACGACUAUAUUGAGAAUUAGAUAUGGAAUAUUUGCUGAGAUCCUGACACUGAGAUUCAGGUGAAAGUACAAAUCUAGAAAGUAAGGUUUAGAUACUUAGAAAAACAACCCAAGUGGGAAAUGGAAGUGUAAAGUCAAGUCCCAAGUCAGAAUUACCUGCUUAGAAAAACACUCUGGAAUUGGCUGGGGAGAUAUGGAUUAAUGGAAAGGCUUAGACAGGGACGAAUGCAUUACUUGCAGGGACAGGUGGGAGUUAGGUGUGUAUACCAGCAGGGAGGUACUCAGAGAGACAGACAGACAGGAGGGAAGAGACAGAGACAGGAGUGGGGAGAGAGACAAACAAACAGAAAGGGAGAGACAGAGUGAAAGAGGGGGAAGUUAGGUGUGUAUACCAGUAAUACAGAUGUGAGGAAUAGGGUAAAAUGAGGGUGGGAAUAAUAGAGAAUUCUAGGAGGGAAAGAAAGAUAAAAGAACAGAAGGAGGGUUAGGCGUGAUCAAGAGAGACCCAAAUGGAGCUACACAACGGACGGAUCACAGCGAUGGAUUCCAUGGAGAAAAUGCAACGGAUCAAGAAACAGCUGGAGUGGAUCUGUGAUGAAGGAAUACAGAUCAGCAAACAGCAAUCCUGAGAGGUGAACAUUUACAGCUUUGGAGGCUACCUCACGAAUCCAGGAGAUCCAGAGACUUCGAAUAAGAGUUGUCCGACAAGAAGGAACUGUUUUCUUGCAACUGGACCCAUUUUUGGAGAAAUGAACAUACAUCGGGACUGGAAUGGACCAUGUGACCUUGGAAAGUUCAGAAGAGCUACUGGAGGUUCGGGAGCUUGAGUCCGAGACAAACUUGGUAAUCGCCGAGCCUAGUCUGCCAGCACGGCCCCAAGGGACAGCCAAGACGCCAGGUCCUACAAGCAAGAAAGCAACUCUGUCCAUUGCGCCACGUUCAGAAUUUAACAUGGCACGCAAAUGCAUUGGAGCAGAAACUUUAAGUUUCAUCUCACUUUCCUCAGGAACUAAGGUGGUUUGGGGGAAUAUAUGCCCUGGACUGUGUCUUCUCAGUGAAUAGAUCUUUGUAACAGGAAAUUGAUGUCUAUUGGUUAAAAGGAGGCAAUAAUAAACCCACAAGCACUGGCAACUGAUACUGAAUAAAAAACAUUGUUAAAGGCUCAGGCCAAAAGCAUUAGAACAAAACAUUUUCAAUCUUUCAGAGACAGUCCUAGAACCCUGAGGUGAGAUGGAGGAGCUGACCCUGGAAAGUCAAAGCUGCAGAGCACAGCCUGCAUACUCAGUUUCUCUCCUUACUGUUUCUUAGGAUCUUUGGGGAUGAAAGAGAGGGGAAGACUGGGAGGAAAAGCAGGAGGAGCAGUCUAAAUAUGAUUAAGGACCAAGUAUCACAUCUAGGAGCUCUGAAAUUUGUUGCCUUGUGUUUGUGCUGUUGUUUUUUUUGUUUUGUUUUGUUUUGUUUUUUAACAUGACCACUUUAUAUUGAUUGCAUCUUAUAAAUGAAAGAUUUAUCCAGAAUAAGGUAAUUCCAGAAUUGGGGCAGAAUGUGGCUGUAGAUUUUAUUUUUCUUAUUACUGAGAUAUAUGUAUUGCACCUUUAACUUAAAUUAAGGAGCAGGCCAGGACCACAUGCCUCCAUGGGAAGGGAACUAGUCUGAGUUUGUUCAGGCUGAGUUCCCUCUUGUAGCCAAUGGAGAUGCUAAAACAUUUGAGAAAGGCUAUUUGGGGGAGGUACCAGUGCAAGUCUAAUGGUGCCUCUAGGGUAAUGGCUGCAAUAGUGUCGCAUAGUCAACAAUUCAUAUGCUUCCCUCUCUCUUUAGAUGAUUACUAUCAUAUCUACCUACUAGGGCUUCAGGAUGGUGGCACAGGAACUGUGUGGACCAAGUCCAAUUCCAAGUAUUUCAUGCAGCCUUUACCAUUGUCACAGAGAGAUGAUGAUGAUCACAAGACAACUUUCCAAAAUUUAGGGGAGUCGGUGAAAGCAGUCCUCAAAAUCAUAUUUUCUCUCUGAAAACAUUAAUAUGAUGAAGAAAGAAUAUUAUUGACUGAGUAAUCUAAUCCUGGAAUACUAGGAUGAUUAGGAGAAACUUACCAAAUUUAGGGGAGUCGGUGAAAGCAGUCCUCAAAAUCAUAUUUUCUCUCUGAAAACAUUAAUAUGAUGAAGAAAGAAUAUUUUUGACUGAGUAGUCUAAUCCUGCAACGCUAGGGUGACCAGGAAAAACUUACCAAAAUUUAGGGGAGUCAGUGAAUGCAGUCCCCCAAAUCAUAUUUUCUCUCUGAAAACAUUAACAUGACGGAGAAAGAAUAUUUUUGACUGAGUAAUCUAAUCCUGGAACGCUAGAAUAACCAGGAGAAACUUACCAAAAUUUAGGGUAGUUGGUGAAAGCAGUCCCCAAAAUCAUAUUUUCUCUCUGAAAACAUUAACACAAUGGAGAAAGAAUAUUUUUGACUGAGUAAUCUAAUCCUGGAAUACUAGGAUGAUUAGGAGAAACUUACCAAAUUUAGGGGAGUCGGUGAAAGCAGUCCCCCAAAUCAUAUUUUCGCUCUGAAAAUAUUAACACAAUGGAGAAAUAAUUUUAUUAAUUGAGUAAUCUAAUCCUGGAACUCUAGGAUUUACUUACAAAAUGUAAAAGAAAAUUCUUCACAUGCUGAAAGAAUCAAAUUGAGAGUGUCAGUCAAGCAGCUUUACAAUUGGAAGCACAGAAACUAAGACUAUUGCCCAUUUCAUCAGUGUGCCCCAGGGGCUGAGGAAGGUGGGAGAGGAUAAGGAUGGGACAAAACAGCUCCCACUUGUGGGGUGGAACCUCAUCACAAGUAUAUAUUUAUGUUGGAUCCUUUUCCUGAACCCAGGAAGUAUCUUCACUGUAUAUGUACAUCCAGGAUGACAGUGAAUCCCACCCCAUCCUUCCCCUACCAGCAGCAAAAAGGGAGCAAGCCACAGUUCUCAGACUCUCCCUCCACUGCUAUAAAGGAGAGAGCGUCAACCCACAACUGUCAGCUCCCUUCCCUCUUCUCUUUCUCAUCAACUGCAAAGAAAGAACACCCAGUCACCAGAGUUGACACUAGGAAAUUUUGGGGGGACAAUAAUUCCAGGUGUCUUGCUGUGGGUUUGGAGUGGAGAUAUAGCCUCUUCCACUCUCAAAUUAGACACAAAGGAAAUAAAUCCUUCAUUAAAUCCCAUUGUUGCUGUUAAUUGGAACUAAGAAAUAAUGAGAGGUAGUUAUCUAUGCCCUAUGACACGAGACGUGCCUCUGGAUUCCUCCAGGAAGUGGAAAGUAUUGGGAUGGUUAGCGAGGAUUGUCUGAAGGGUAAGGGGAUAGUGGGGGGUGGUCAGCAAGUAGGCUUUGGGUGCCUUCUCACAGUCCUGCAAAUGGGGAAGGGAGGGACAACUUUGCUCCUAAUCCACGUGUAUAUGCUCCCCAUUCCCUCCUCCCUCCCAGCAUUGUACCCUCUGUUGCCAGGCUCCGUGCCCUUCCCUCUACUUAGUUCCCAUCAGCCAGCAAAAAGGAGAGAGUGACUAUACCUCUUUUUUCCUCCAAGCAGAACAAGUAAUCUUUGUAUGAAGUUAUAAUUUAGCUUAAUUUACUUAAAAACUUUCCCAUUUUAUAAAAAGAGAACAGUUUGGAACAAAAAAAGCAACUCUGCAAGAAAAAGAUUAGUGCUAAAUGGAAUCCAGCUCCCGCAGCCCGAUGCUCAGGAUCAGUAAAGGGCAUUACCAAGAUGAUUCCUUGCAUGUAUAGCUUGGACCACAUGGAAGUUGAGGUCCCUGUCAACUCUCACCAUCUAUAACCCUGUGGGUCUCAACUUUAAUACUCCUCUCAGAGAGUUCUACCAGUAGACAUACCCCCACCCAAUGUAGACACCUAAAGAAUGGGAACUAAAGAGGGCCCAAGUUUGACCCCAAGCGGAGAGCUAACUAAAAUGGCAGAAAAGGUCAGACUUGCAUAGUAUUAGAGAGACAGAAAUGGCAUGAAAUGAAACAAAAUUAAAUACAAGCACUUGAAGCAAGGGAGUUUAAACACAAGGUAUCGCUCAGGAAGGGAGAGUGGCUAUCUGACAUAAAGAAAACAGGAAAUGGGGAGCAGGGUGCUCUGGGAGCUCAACCCCUGCUUCUGUUCCUUUUCCAGAGAUAUCCUGCAUUGAAAUACAACUUCAAGCUCAUUCCCCAUGAUGAAUGCUCUACUCCUAGUGGGACUAAGAAAAUAAAUGACUGUGUCUGGGAGGGAGGAGCUUGUGUCUUCUUGGGAAUGCCCAAAGCACCCCAACAGCCUGUGGUCGAUUUCCACUCUUCUGAUUAAAACUUUUAUCAAGUAUGUCUUUGUGUACUGUCUUAAAUGAAAAACAGUGGGUAAUGGGCAUUAGGG
rnacentral:lncRNA from 1 species